GAGAGUUAAAUAGUACGUGAAAUUGUUGAAAGGGAAACGAUUGAAGUCAGUCAUGCUAGUGAAAAAUCAGUUUGACGGGUUUUGAGUUCGGGAGUAGAGGCAGGGUCAAACCGUUUCUCUUUUGAACUUGGGAUUUGUUAGAUGUACUUUUUCUUUGGCAGGUCAGCGUCGAUUUCGGAGGUUGUAAAAUACUUGGGGGAAAGUAACUCUGCUUCGGGAGAGUAUUAUAGACCCUGGGGGAUGCAGCCUGUGGGAUCGAGGAUUGCAGCAAAUGCCUUUGGCUUGUCGCCUGAUCUCUGGAUGUUACCUCGCUUUUGACAACAUUCUUGCCACUUGUGGGUACUAAUGCCCAUUAGGUUAGAGCGAUCAAAAAUUUGCUAAGGAUGCUGACGUAAUGGCUUUAAACGA
rnacentral:rRNA from 1 species